AUUGAACGCUGGCGGCAUGCCUUACACAUGCAAGUCGAACGGCAGCACGGGUGCUUGCACCUGGUGGCGAGUGGCGAACGGGUGAGUAAUACAUCGGAACGUACCUUAUCGUGGGGGAUAACGCAGCGAAAGCUGUGCUAAUACCGCAUACGCCCCGAGGGGGAAAGCGGGGGAUCGCAAGACCUCGCGCGAUUAGAGCGGCCGAUGCCUGAUUAGCUUGUUGGUGGGGUAAAAGCCCACCAAGGCGACGAUCAGUAGCUGGUCUGAGAGGACGAUCAGCCACACUGGGACUGAGACACGGCCCAGACUCCUACGGGAGGCAGCAGUGGGGAAUUUUGGACAAUGGGGGCAACCCUGAUCCAGCAAUGCCGCGCGAGUGAAGAAGGCCUUCGGGUUGUAAAGCUCUUUUGUCAGGGAAGAAACACCGGCUCUAACACAGUCCGGGAAUGACGGUACCUGAAGAAUAAGCACCGGCUAACUACGUGCCAGCCGCCGCGGUAA
rnacentral:rRNA from 1 species